rnacentral:lncRNA from 1 species
AAACACUGUGGUAAUCGCGCUGGGUGGGUUAGGGUCUUGUUUUCUGUAAAAUGGCCGAAUGAAUUAAUUUUUCCUACGGUACUUUCACACUCCUGGCCUGAUUCCUUCCAACAACCCCUCAAAGCAGAGACAGGUCCUCCUGAUCAUGACUGCUUGAGUGUCACUGAUGAGCUCUUUUCCAGCCGCCCUGACUUGCAAAUGACACCCUUGUUCAAUGCUGACCUCGUUCUGUUCACGGAUGGGAGCAGCUUCAUGGAAGAUCUGGUUCAUCAUGCUGGAUAUGCGGACAUCAGAAAGGCAAAGACUUCAUUGCACAAGGUAAAAAUAGAGCUGAUGCUGAAAGCCGAGAAAGACAACGCACUCAAAGCCCUGCUCUCACCACUCCGGAGGCUGGUGAGUCAACGCACGGCUGAAGAAUGGAAGCACCAACAAGGACGACAUGGAUUAUUGUGCUGUGCCAGAUCACCACUGCCUUAAGUUUCUUUGUUUUCCAACUGUGGGUGUUUAGGCCUAGCUAUGAAAAGUUUGAUGAACAAUAUGUGACUUUUAAAACGGUAAAAUGGGAACCGGAAGGCUAUCCAUUUACAAUAUUCUUUGAUAAAAACAUUAUAGAGGACCUCGGGUAACUUCUGACUGUGGGGAGCUAUUCUAAUGAAAAAUUAUAUUGCAAAGAGAAAACACAAGUUUGGAUCAAUGGCUCCCUUGUUGGACGAGCCACUGGUAAUUGUAACAACUGUAAACAAGGUCAAUGUAAUCCUAUAUCUAUGUAUAUGCCAGCCCCAUGGGAUCUUAUUUGGCUACAAGGAGUAAUAUAUUUCAUUAGGACAAGAAAUUAAAAAAAAAGAUCUUGAGGAAAUUCGAGACACACUUCAGGCUUUAGAAACCCAACUAGAUUCACUGGCC